rnacentral:rRNA from 1 species
UGAGCCUGCGUUAGAUUAGCUAGUUGGUAGGGUAAAGGCCUACCAAGGCGACGAUCUAUAGCUGGUCUGAGAGGACGAUCAGCCACACUGGGACUGAGACACGGCCCAGACUUCUACGGGAGGCAGCAGUGGGGAAUAUUGGACAAUGGGCGAAAGCCUGAUCCAGCAAUACCGCGUGUGUGAAGAAGGCCUUAGGGUUGUAAAGCACUUUCAAUUGGGAGGAAAACCUGCCGGUCAAUACCCGGUAGCUUGACAUUACCUUUAGAAGAAGCACCGGCUAACUCCGUGCCAGCAGCCGCGGUAAUACGGAGGGUGCGAGCGUUAAUCGGAAUUACUGGGCGUAAAGCGUGCGUAGGUGGUUCGUUAAGUCAGAUGUGAAAGCCCUGGGCUCAACCUGGGAACUGCAUUUGAAACUGGCGGACUAGAGUUUAGUAGAGGGGAGUGGAAUUUCAGGUGUAGCGGUGAAAUGCGUAGAUAUCUGAAGGAACACCAGUGGCGAAGGCGACUCC